AGCUUGAAUCCAGAUUCUCAGACUUCAGCAUCAGCACUCUCUUCGCUUCUCAUUCUAAAGAAGAGGAAACUGAGCCCCUAGGAGCAGAAGUAACUCGGCCGAGGGCACACAGAUGGCAGAGCUGGCAUCUGAAGACAUGUCCUCAGACUAUAUAUCCAGUGUGAUUUUCACUGUGCCAUCUUGCCUCCAGGUUGCCAAAUCACACUGAGUCAUUGGCUCAGAGAUGUCCAUCAUGAGUUAAUUGAAAACAGCUGAAGGAGGCAGCCUCUCUGAAGCUGCAAAGGCAAGGAAGAGUCAGUAAGGCAGGAGAGUUGCUGCUGGCUAUAUCAAUGGAGAGGACAGAGUUCAGCAAAAAAACAUUUGCGCUGAGAACCUAGAAAGAAUCGAACAGUGUUUUUUCAGAUACAGAUGCUGCUGAAGGAUUUGUCCAAUAUUCCAUUGAGAAGAUUAUAAUGUGUUCACUUGAUAUAUCAAAGAGAUCUGAAGUGGAGUCUUGGUUCAUUUGGCCAAGAUAUGGAUGGAAUUUGGAGCCUCUGUCUGGCAUCUCAGCUGUGUUAAUGUGUUGAAGACUAGACCAAAAUUUCAUCCAGAAGAAGAUUUAGUUUUUCCUGAGGGUAUGCCAAGAGGAGCUGCAAACUUUGACUAUGGAGAAAAGCAGAAUC
rnacentral:lncRNA from 1 species